rnacentral:rRNA from 1 species
AGAGUUUGAUCAUGGCUCAGAACGAACGCUGGCGGCGUGCUUAACACAUGCAAGUCGAGUGCGCGGUUGUAGCAAUACAACUGGCGCACGGCGCACGGGUGCGUAACACGUGGGCAAUCUGCCCUUCGAUGGGGAAUAACUCCGGGAAACCGAAGCUAAUUCCGCAUAACAUUCCUUGGACCUCGGUUCGAGGACUCAAAGCCGUAAGGCGUCGAAGGAGGAGCCCGCGCACGAUUAGCUAGUUGGUAGGGUAACGGCCUACCAAGGCUUCGAUCGUUAGCUGGUCUGAGAGGAUGGCCAGCCACACUGGAACUGAGACACGGUCCAGACUCCUACGGGAGGCGGCAGUGGGGAAUCUUGCACAAUGGGCGAAAGCCUGAUGCAGCGACGCCGCGUGGGGGAUGAAGCAUUUCGGUGUGUAAACCCCUUUCGACCCGGACGAAUGCCUCGCAAGAGGAGUGACGGUACGGGUAUAAGAAGCCCCGGCUAACUACGUGCCAGCAGCCGCGGUAAGACGUAGGGGGCCAGCGUUGUUCGGAAUUACUGGGUGUAAAGGGUUCGUAGGCGGUGUGGCAAGUUGGGAGUGAAAUCUCUGGGCUCAACCCAGAGGCUGCUUCCAAAACUGCUGUGCUUGAGUGUGGGAGAGGCGCGUGGAAUUGCAGGUGUAGCGGUGAAAUGCGUAGAUAUCUGCAGGAACACCCGUGGCGAAAGCGGCGCGCUGGACCACAACUGACGCUGAGGAACGAAAGCUAGGGGAGCAAACAGGAUUAGAUACCCUAGUAGUCC